AACUUUUAAUAAUGGAUCUCUUGAUUCUGGUAUUAAUAAAGAACGUAGCAAAAUACGAUAAGUAAUAUAAAUUAUAGAAUUUAGUAAAUCAUCGAAUCUUUAAACGUAUAUUAUGCCUACUAGCAUCCUAGUAAGUAUACCUAUUUAAGUAUCA
rnacentral:rRNA from 1 species